rnacentral:rRNA from 1 species
UGGGGAAUAUUGGACAAUGGGCGAAAGCCUGAUCCAGCAAUACCGCGUGAGUGAUGAAGGUCUUCGGAUUGUAAAGCUCUUUUAGUAGGGAAGAUAAUGACGGUACCUACAGAAAAAGCACCGGCAAACUUCGUGCCAGCAGCCGCGGUAAUACGAAGGGUGCUAGCGUUGUUCGGAAUUACUGGGCGUAAAGCGUACGUAGGCGGCUUAGUAAGUCGAUUGUGAAAUCCCCAAGCUCAACUUGGGAAUUGCAACCGAAACUGCUUUGCUUGAGUUUGGUGGGGGAUGGUGGAAUUCUUAGUGUAGGGGUGAAAUCCGUAGAUAUUAAGAGGAAUACCGGUGGCGAAGGCGACCAUCUACGCCAAUACUGACGCUAAGGUACGAAAGCGUGGGGAGCAAACAGG